CCUACGGGUGGCUGCAGUGGGGAAUAUUGGACAAUGGGCGAAAGCCUGAUCCAGCCAUGCCGCGUGUGUGAAGAAGGCCUUCGGGUUGUAAAGCACUUUCAGUGGGGAAGAAAGCCUUGGGGCUAAUACCCUCGAGGAAGGACAUCACCCACAGAAGAAGCACCGGCUAACUCCGUGCCAGCAGCCGCGGUAAUACGGAGGGUGCGAGCGUUAAUCGGAAUUACUGGGCGUAAAGCGCGCGUAGGCGGUCUGAUAAGCCGGUUGUGAAAGCCCCGGGCUCAACCUGGGAACGGCAUCCGGAACUGUCAGGCUUGAGUGCAGGAGAGGAAGGUAGAAUUCCCGGUGUAGCGGUGAAAUGCGUAGAGAUCGGGAGGAAUACCAGUGGCGAAGGCGGCCUUCUGGACUGACACUGACGCUGAGGUGCGAAAGCGUGGGUAGCAAACAGGAUUAGAUACCCGAGUAGUC
rnacentral:rRNA from 1 species